rnacentral:rRNA from 1 species
CCUACGGGAGGCAGCAGUGGGGAAUAUUGGACAAUGGGCGAAAGCCUGAUCCAGCCAUGCCGCGUGUGUGAAGAAGGCCUUCGGGUUGUAAAGCACUUUCAGUGGGGAAGAAAGCCUUGGGGCUAAUACCCUCGAGGAAGGACAUCACCCACAGAAGAAGCACCGGCUAACUCCGUGCCAGCAGCCGCGGUAAUACGGAGGGUGCGAGCGGUAAUCGGAAUUACUGGGCGUAAAGCGCGCGUAGGCGGUCUGAUAAGCCGGUUGUGAAAGCCCCGGGCUCAACCUGGGAACGGCAUCCGGAACUGUCAGGCUAGAGUGCAGGAGAGGAAGGUAGAAUUCCCGGUGUAGCGGUGAAAUGCGUAGAGAUCGGGAGGAAUACCAGUGGCGAAGGCGGCCUUCUGGACUGACACUGACGCUGAGGUGCGAAAGCGUGGGUAGCAAACAGGAUUAGAUACCCCAGUAGUC